AUGUUAGAAUAUCGUCAUCUCCGGCGAUGAAGUUGCUCAAUGAUUUUUUUUACAACCUAUAUCUGACCAGUUCAACCGGUUAGCAGAUUAAUGACGAAUUUUCCCAGUUUGAAGUUACCGGUUUCUAGUACUAAACCCAAACCGAAAAAAAGUUCGGAUUGUGGGUUAACCAGUAAGUCUAGGUCAGGCGUGAAAACACUGGUAAGAACUCAUAUUAGUAAUGUUUGAGACAAGACAAUGACAUUGGUUUUUUUGAUGUCUCACAAACUUUAAGGGAAAAAUCCUAAAAGAGACUCAAAAUAAAUAUAAUUUGGACGUUUAAUACCCAAUAUUUUUUUGUUGGAAAAA
rnacentral:sRNA from 1 species